GACGAACGCUGGCGGCGUGCUUAACACAUGCAAGUCGAACGAUGAAACCUAGCUUGCUAGGUCGAUUAGUGGCGAACGGGUGAGUAACACGUGACUAACCUGCCCCUUUCUCUGGGAUAACGCUCCGAAAGGAGUGCUAAUACCGGAUACUCACAUCGAGGCACAUGCCUUGGUGUGGAAAGUUUUUCGGAAAGGGAUGGAGUCGCGGCCUAUCAGCUUGUUGGUGAGGUAACGGCUCACCAAGGCGACGACGGGUAGCCGGCCUGAGAGGGCGACAGGCCACACUGGGACUGAGACACGGCCCAGACUCAUACGGGAGGCAGCAGUGGGGAAUAUUGAACAAUGGGCGCAAGCCUGAUGCAGCGACGCCGCGUGAGGGAUGAAGGUCUUCGGAUUGUAAACCUCUUUCAGUAGGGACGAAGCGAAAGUGACGGUACCUAAAGAAGAAGCACCGGCUAACUACGUGCCAGCCGCCGCGGUAA
rnacentral:rRNA from 1 species